rnacentral:rRNA from 1 species
AUUGAACGCUGGCGGCAGGCCUAACACAUGCAAGUCGAGCGGAUGAAGGGAGCUUGCUCCUGGAUUCAGCGGCGGACGGGUGAGUAAUGCCUAGGAAUCUGCCUGGUAGUGGGGGAUAACGUCCGGAAACGGGCGCUAAUACCGCAUACGUCCUGAGGGAGAAAGUGGGGGAUUUUCGGACCUCACGCUAUCAGAUGAGCCUAGGUCGGAUUAGCUAGUUGGUGGGGUAAAGGCCUACCAAGGCGACGAUCCGUAACUGGUCUGAGAGGAUGAUCAGUCACACUGGAACUGAGACACGGUCCAGACUCCUACGGGAGGCAGCAGUGGGGAAUAUUGGACAAUGGGCGGAAGCCUGAUCCAGCCAUGCCGCGUGUGUGAAGAAGGUCUUCGGAUUGUAAAGCACUUUAAGUUGGGAGGAAGGGCAGUAAGUUAAUACCUUGCUGUUUUGACGUUACCAACAGAAUAAGCACCGGCUAACUUCGUG